ensembl:lncRNA
AUGCUGCCAGCAGGGGAUGAGCCCCUGGAUGUGGCCCGCGUGACCAGCCACCUGAUGGAAGAGCUGCUGCUGCGGCCGCUCCGAGCGCUGUACGGGACCAGCGUGCUGGCCGAGUACCACCGGCUCAAACGCGGCCUGCUGGGGGCCCCCUCUGGAUACCAUGCCAUGGUGGCCGGGACCAGGUACAUGGUGACCUUUGACGGCCAGGUGUGGGGCAUUGGUGACCGCUGUGGCAGCCUGCUGCUGGCCCAGGACUUUGCUCACAACACGUUCUCGCUGAUGCUAAACCGGACAGGCUCAGGGCUCACAUCGUUGACCGUGGGGCUGAACCACACCAUCCUCGCCCUCUACCCCAGCCUGAAGACCUACAGGCUGUACAGCAACUCCCUGCCCGGGGAGAGCUGUCUGGACAGGGACCUGCCUCCCACCAAGACCAGGAGGGACGACCCCAGGAUUGAACUGACCAGUGAGGAUGGCGUCUCCAUCACCUGUGACGUCCCCGCCGGCCUCUGCAGCCUGACUCUGAGCGUCUGGCAGCACGGCCUGUCCGCUGGUCUUCUGGGCACCAAUGACAAUGAGGCCGGCAACGAGCUCAUGCUGCCAGAUGGCACAGUGGCCAGCAGCCUGGAGGAGUUCGCCCUGGCCUGGCAGGUGGCUGGUGACUGCAGAGCCGUGGAGAAGACUCGGCCGGCAUGCCCGGAACAGAGCCCCACCUGCCGGGCCUUCUUCCACGACCCCCACUCCAGCCUGGCAAGCUGUUUUGGAGUGGUGGACCCAACACCCUUCCUCAGCCUGUGCGCCCGGGACACCUGUGGCACCCAGGAGCGCCAGCCUGCUUGCACCCUGGCUGCCGCCUACGUCCAGCUGUGUGCCAGGGGCUUCGUGCCCGUGGACCCGCCUCCACAGUGCGUUUGAGAUUCUGCUUGAGGCAGCACCAGGCUUGCCAAAGAUCUGAGACUUCCUCUCCUUCUGCCACAAUCCCAUCUCAUCCAGCUACAAUCUCAUCUCAUCCAGCAAGGUCAAGAUUCUUGUCUGGGGUAGAAUGAUGAGCACAAAAUACCAGGAAGUCAGAGAAGAUCAGGACUGAGGUGGAUCCAGGAAAGAAGGGCUGUUAGUGAUUUUGAAAUACCUCUGGGGGCGAUGGAGCCCACAUUGGUCUGGAUAAUUCUCCAUCUUCCUCAACACCUGCCUUGUGAUCCAGGAGACAGCCUGGCCCGCUGGAUCCCGCUCUGGAGAGGGAACGCCACUUCAGAACUAUUCUUGCCUGUGAUAUUUCUUCACUCGCCCGGCUGCUAUUUCUGAAGCCUCUGCUGUAUGAGUCAGGCUGCCCCGGGUCUUCCUAGCUUGGGAUUGGCUUCCCCUAAGGCAUGAGUUUCCUUGAGGGGAACGGAUGGUCCCAAAUCCCUUAAUCAAAGCCUGGUUGGGUGCUUCCCUCUUGGCACAGAUCCUGAUUCUAAGGUUGAAUGUUCCAGGGGACUGGUUUCCACAGAGCUGUGCUCUGGGCAUUCAGCCCCCAAGGGUACAGCCUGCAGAGUUGUUCACUUACUUUGGGGGAAGGCGUUGCCCUUGAAAAAUUAAAGCUGGCAGAAUCCAAGCACACGUGUAUUAGAUUGGUGGAGUCAACUGUUCCACUGGAGGGAUGGGGUGGAGGGGGGAGGCGUGGAUGGCUGUGAAACCUGUUCACCAGUAGGGGGCCCCCAGGACCCUCUCUACACCGAAUCGAGUCCAGAGCAGUGGUGAGCUAUCAGCCAUAAGGCUCCGUGCUACCAGAAAGCCAGAUGCUGGUUCUCAGCUGUCCUUGGCCUCCCCACAUGCAAUCCUCGGCACACAGCAGGUGCUCAGUGAAGUUUAGAAAGAGGAACUCGAGAGGGUUUUAGACUUUCCAGCAGUGAAUGCAAAUGGGGGAUCUGGUCCU